AUGAAUUUUCUGAAACUGAGGAACUACAACUGGAAGAUGUGGAUGAGGAAAUUAAUGCUGAAAAUCUGGAAAGCAAGAAAAUUGUGGGAGAUGAUGAAAGUGUUCCUACAGGUUCCCACAGUAAAACAGAAGGAGCAGAAAGAACCAGUGAUGAUAGCUCAGCUGAAACCAUUGAAAAGAAAGAAAAAGCCAACCUGGAGGAACGGGCCAUUUGUGAAUACAAUGAAAACCCAAAAGGAUCCGUGCUUGAUGAUGCAGAGAGCAGUUCAUUAGAAAUUCUGGAAAAUAGUGAAUCAACACCAAGCAAAGACAUGAAAAAAACACAGAAGGUAAGUGAAAUGAAUUGUCUUUUUUAAUGCUAAGACCAAAGUAUUGAAUUGUUCCUUUUACUUUUCAUAUGGCGAUCCACAUAAUUUAACUAUCUUAAUAUGAGUUUUUAUGGCCCCAAAACCUGAAGAAUUUCAGGUGAUGUCACAUAUUUUUAAUAUACUUCUUUUCCUUUGGUUAGCAUUUGAAUGAAGAUCUUCUUUUCAUCCUUUUACUUUAACUUAUGUUUUAGAUGUGUCUCUUGUAAAUGGCCUAUACAGCUGGAUUUUGUCUUUGACAUUUUUAACAUGCAUACCUAAAAUCUAAAGCUCAUCAGUAUUCCUAUCUUUUUUCCCAAAUAAUGCCAGGACCUUAGAAUAAUUUUCUUGCCUAUCACUUCUUCUUUCUUAUUGUAGAAGUUAUGGUACCCAGUAUUUAAAAUUUUUUAACAUCAUAAAUCAUAUGUUUUAGUAAUUUUAUACUACUUUUUUACUCAGUUGUCUUUUCUGGAAUUCUUAUUCUUCCUGAAGAAAUAUUUUGGAAUUUCCUAUCACAGGUGUCUGUUGACAGUUAAAACUUUUAGUUUCUGUUCUCUUGAAAAUAUCUUUAUUUUACCAUAGUUCUUGAAUGAUAGUGUGACUGGUUGACAGUUAUUUUCUCUUAGUGUCUGCUCCCAUUAUUGCUGUCUAUAAUUUCGCUUUAGUAUAAUUGCUGAUAACUUUGUAUAUAACCUGCCAUUCUCUAUGGCUGCUUUUUAGAUUGUCUUUGAUGUUUUCAGUUCACUAGGAGAUGCUUGA
rnacentral:lncRNA from 1 species